rnacentral:rRNA from 1 species
GAAAGAGAGCCAGAACACAGGUGCUGCAUGGCCGUCGUCAGCUCGUGUCGUGAGAUGUUGGGUUAAGUCCCGCAACGAGCGCAACCCUUGUCAUUAGUUGCUACGAAAGGGCACUCUAAUGAGACUGCCGGUGACAAACCGGAGGAAGGUGGGGAUGACGUCAGGUCAUCAUGGCCCUUAUGGGUAGGGCUACACACGUCAUACAAUGGCCGGGACAGAGGGCUGCCAACCCGCGAGGGGGAGCUAAUCCCAGAAACCCGGUCGUAGUCCGGAUCGUAGUCUGCAACUCGACUGCGUGAAGUCGGAAUCGCUAGUAAUCGCGGAUCAGCUUGCCGCGGUGAAUACGUUCCCGGGUCUUGUACACACCGCCCGUCACACCAUGGGAGCGGGUUCUGCCAGAAGUAGUUAGCCUAACCGCAAGGGGGGCGA